rnacentral:rRNA from 1 species
GAAGAAAGAGGGAGGCGUGCUUAACACAUGCAAGUCGAACGGAAAGGCCCUGCUUUUGUGGGGUGCUCGAGUGGCGAACGGGUGAGUAACACGUGAGUAACCUGCCCUUGACUUUGGGAUAACUUCAGGAAACUGGGGCUAAUACCGGAUAGGAGCUCCUGCUGCAUGGUGGGGGUUGGAAAGUUUCGGCGGUUGGGGAUGGACUCGCGGCUUAUCAGCUUGUUGGUGGGGUAGUGGCUUACCAAGGCUUUGACGGGUAGCCGGCCUGAGAGGGUGACCGGCCACAUUGGGACUGAGAUACGGCCCAGACUCCUACGGGAGGCAGCAGUGGGGAAUAUUGCACAAUGGGCGGAAGCCUGAUGCAGCAACGCCGCGUGCGGGAUGACGGCCUUCGGGUUGUAAACCGCUUUCGCCUGUGACGAAGCGUGAGUGACGGUAAUGGGUAAAGAAGCACCGGCUAACUACGUG